UAAGGGCGCACGGUGGAUGCCUUGGCACUAGAAGCCGAUGAAGGACGUUACUAACGACGAUAUGCUUUGGGGAGCUGUAAGUAAGCUUUGAUCCAGAGAUUUCCGAAUGGGGAAACCCAGCAUGAGUUAUGUCAUGUUAUCGAUAUGUGAAUACAUAGCAUAUCAGAAGGCACACCCGGAGAACUGAAACAUCUUAGUACCCGGAGGAAGAGAAAGAAAAUUCGAUUCCCUUAGUAGCGGCGAGCGAAACGGGAAGAGCCCAAACCAACAAGCUUGCUUGUUGGGGUUGUAGGACACUCUAUACGGAGUUACAAAGGACGACAUUAGACGAAUCAUCUGGAAAGAUGAAUCAAAGAAGGUAAU
rnacentral:rRNA from 1 species